CUAAAUAUUCACUUAUAUGAUUUUUUUUUUUUUUGUAGAGAUGGAGUCUUGCUCUGUCACCCAGACUGGAGUUCAGUGGUGCGAUCUCUGCUCACUGCAACCUCCACCUCUCCUGUUCAAGCAAUUCUCCUGCCUCAGCCUCCUGAGUAGCUGGGACUACAAGCGCACACUGCCAUGCCUGGCUAAUUUCUUUUGUAUUUUAGUAGAGACAGGGCUUCACCAUGUUGCCCAGGCUGGUCUCAAACUCCUGAACUCAGGCAAUCUGCCCGCCUCAGCCUCCCAAAGUGCUAGGAUUACAGGUGUGAGCCACCAUGCCCAGCCUCACUUAUAUGUUUUAAAGUUUAUUUAAUUUUGAAUUUGAAUUUUUAACAUCUGGGAUUUAUUUGUUAUAUAAUGUAAGGUGACCAAGCAUCCUUGUACACGGAUUUGAAAUUACAUCUUUAUCACAUAAUAAAUUCUUAUGUAUGCAUUUGAAUUUAAAAUUUGUGCUAGUGAAGUGAUGAAAGCUGCAGUUCAAUCUCUAAGCUUUUGUUCCUUUUGUAUCUGUUUAGUUAAAUGUGGCAUUGAUUUAGGGUGAUACUUUUUCUUUUUUAACACUCCAUAAAGCACCAAAGAUACAUUUAAAUUUAUAUACAUACAUGUAACUAUUUUUCUUCUUUAGGUUUAUAUUUUCUUUUAAAGCAAUACAAGCUUUUUGUAGGAAAAAUGUAAGUAAAAUUGUAAGGAAGCAGAAAAAUUAUUUUGAUCUCUUUUAAUCAACAAUAACCACUGAUAACACUUUGGCAUAUUUAGUUUUACAACUUUUUUCACUUUUUCUUCUUUGUGGAGGAUACAAGAGAUGUAAAUAAAGGUCUUUAAAUGUUUUCAUAAUGAUGAUUGUUUUAUGCUUCCAGUAGAACAUUAACUUGAUUUGUAAUAAUGAAAUUUUUAAUCCUCCUAAUGGGAUUUGAAACAUAUUUCUUAAAGAACCUAAAUGUACAAACUCAUAUUCUGAAAACAAAAAAACAAAUGUUUUUUAAAAUUACUCAUUAAAAUGGAAAUUCUCUAUUUUCACCAGUGGGUGGCAAUCUCAACAUAUACACUGUUUGGUAUUUUCGACAGAACUGUUUAUUGCAAAGGGGAAAGCUACCUAAAAUGUCUGACAACUGUAACUCCAGCAGCUGUUGUUGCCCUUUAGUUGUUGCCCUUAAAAAAAGAAAAAGAGAAACCUGCAGGAAUAAUCACAAGUAAGAAC
rnacentral:lncRNA from 1 species